rnacentral:rRNA from 1 species
UACGUAGGGCGCGAGCGUUGUCCGGAAUUAUUGGGCGUAAAGAGCUCGUAGGCGGCUUGUCACGUCGGGUGUGAAAGACCGGGGCUUAACUCCGGUUCUGCAUUCGAUACGGGCUAGCUAGAGUGCGGUAGGGGAGACUGGAAUUCCUGGUGUAGCGGUGAAAUGCGCAGAUAUCAGGAGGAACACCGGUGGCGAAGGCGGGUCUCUGGGCCGUAACUGACGCUGAGGAGCGAAAGCAUGGGGAGCGAACAGG